UACAGAGGUCUCAAGCGUUUGUUCGGAUUCAUUGGGCGUAAAGGGCGCGUAGGCUGCGGGGCAAGUCGGGUGUGAAAUCUCAGAGCUCAACUCUGAAACUGCACUCGAUACUGCUUUGCUCGAGGACUGGAGAGGAGAUUGGAAUUCACGGUGUAGCAGUGAAAUGCGUAGAUAUCGUGAGGAAGACCAGUGGCGAAGGCGGAUCUCUGGACAGUUCCGUGA
rnacentral:rRNA from 1 species